rnacentral:rRNA from 1 species
UACGGAGGGUGCAAGCGUUAUCCGGAUUCACUGGGUUUAAAGGGUGCGUAGGCGGGCAGGUAAGUCAGUGGUGAAAUCUCUGAGCUUAACUCAGAAACUGCCAUUGAUACUAUGUUUCUUGAAUUUUCUGGAGGUCAGCGGAAUAUGUCAUGUAGCGGUGAAAUGCUUAGAUAUGACAUAGAACACCAAUUGCGAAGGCAGCUGGCUACAGGGAUAUUGACACUGAGGCACGAAAGCGUGGGGAUCAAACAGG